AGAGUUUGAUCCUGGCUCAGGAUGAACGCUGGCGGCGUGCCUAAUACAUGCAAGUCGAGCGAACCACUUCGGUGGUGAGCGGCGAACGGGUGAGUAACACGUAGGUGAUCUGCCCAUCAGACGGGGACAACGAUUGGAAACGAUCGCUAAUACCGGAUAGGACGAAAGUUUAAAGGUGCUUCUGGCACCGCUGAUGGAUGAGCCUGCGGCGCAUUAGCUAGUUGGUAGGGUAAAGGCCUACCAAGGCGACGAUGCGUAGCCGACCUGAGAGGGUGAACGGCCACACUGGGACUGAGACACGGCCCAGACUCCUACGGGAGGCAGCAGUAGGGAAUCUUCGGCAAUGGGCGAAAGCCUGACCGAGCAACGCCGCGUGAAUGAUGAAGGCCUUCGGGUUGUAAAAUUCUGUUAUAAGGGAAGAACGACUUUAGUAGGAAAUGGCUAAAGUGUGACGGUACCUUAUGAGAAAGCCACGGCUAACUACGUGCCAGCAGCCGCGGUAAUACGUAGGUGGCAAGCGUUAUCCGGAAUUAUUGGGCGUAAAGAGCGCGCAGGUGGUUGAUUAAGUCUGAUGUGAAAGCCCACGGCUUAACCGUGGAGGGUCAUUGGAAACUGGUCGACUUGAGUGCAGAAGAGGGAAGUGGAAUUCCAUGUGUAGCGGUGAAAUGCGUAGAGAUAUGGAGGAACACCAGUGGCGAAGGCGGCUUCCUGGUCUGUAACUGACACUGAGGCGCGAAAGCGUGGGGAGCAAACAGGAUUAGAUACCCUGGUAGUCCACGCCGUAAACGAUGAGUGCUAAGUGUUGGGGGUCGAACCUCAGUGCUGAAGUUAACGCAUUAAGCACUCCGCCUGGGGAGUACGGUCGCAAGACUGAAACUCAAA
rnacentral:rRNA from 1 species